UACGAAGGGUGCUAGCGUUGUUCGGAAUCACUGGGCGUAAAGCGCGCGUAGGCGGCGAUACAAGUCAGAGGUGAAAGCCUGGAGCUCAACUCCAGAAUUGCCUUUGAAACUGUAUUGCUAGAGUGUCGGAGGGGAUAGCGGAAUUCCUAAUGUAGAGGUGAAAUUCGUAGAUAUUAGGAGGAACACCGGUGGCGAAGGCGGCUAUCUGGACGACAACUGACGCUGAGGCGCGAAAGCGUGGGGAGCAAACAGG
rnacentral:rRNA from 1 species